rnacentral:rRNA from 1 species
UUUGAUCAUGGCUCAGAUUGAACGCUGGCGGCAUGCCUUACACAUGCAAGUCGAACGGCAGCGCGGGAGCAAUCCUGGCGGCGAGUGGCGAACGGGUGAGUAAUACAUCGGAACGUGCCCAAUCGUGGGGGAUAACGCAGCGAAAGCUGUGCUAAUACCGCAUACGAUCUACGGAUGAAAGCAGGGGAUCGCAGGACCUUGCGCGAAUGGAGCGGCCGAUGGCAGAUUAGGUAGUUGGUGAGGUAAAGGCUCACCAAGCCUUCGAUCUGUAGCUGGUCUGAGAGGACGACCAGCCACACUGGGACUGAGACACGGCCCAGACUCCUACGGGAGGCAGCAGUGGGGAAUUUUGGACAAUGGGCGCAAGCCUGAUCCAGCCAUGCCGCGUGCAGGAUGAAGGCCUUCGGGUUGUAAACUGCUUUUGUACGGAACGAAACGGUCUUUUCUAAUAAAGAAGGCUAAUGACGGUACCGUAAGAAUAAGCACCGGCUAACUACGUGCCAGCAGCCGCGGUAAUACGUAGGGUGCAAGCGUUAAUCGGAAUUACUGGGCGUAAAGCGUGCGCAGGCGGUAAUGUAAGACAGUUGU